GUAGGUGGCAAGCGUUGUCCGGAAUUAUUGGGCGUAAAGCGCGCGCAGGCGGGGUCCUUUAAGUCUGAUGUGAAAGCCCACGGGCUCAACCGUGGAGGGUCAUUGGAAACUGGGGGGACUUGAGUACAGAAGAGGAAAGCGGAAUUCCAAGUGUAGCGGUGAAAUGCGUAGAGAUUUGGAGGAACACCAGUGGCGAAGGCGGCUUUCUGGUCUGUAACUGACGCUGAGGCGCGAAAGCGUGGGGAGCAAACAGGAUUAGAUACCCUGGUAGUCCACGCCGUAAACGAUGAGUGCUAAGUGUUAGGGGGUUUCCGCCCCUUAGUGCUGCAGCUAACGCAUUAAGCACUCCGCCUGGGGAGUACGGCCGCAAAGGCUG
rnacentral:rRNA from 1 species